rnacentral:lncRNA from 1 species
AAAACUUGGAAUGGAACCUCCAUUUGACCCAGCUAUCCCUCUUCUUGGUUUAUACCCAAAGGACUUAAAAUCAGAAUACUAUGGUGACACAGCCACAUCAAUGUUUAUAGCAGCUCAAUUCAUGAUAGCUGAACUAUGGAACCAAACUAGAUGCCCUUCAACAGAUGAGUGGAUAAAGAAACUGUGGUUCAUAUACACAAUAGAAUAUUACUCAGCCUUGAAGAAGAAUGAAAUUAUGGCAUUUGCAGAUAAAUGGAUGGAACUAGAGAAUAGUAUGCUAAGUGAAAUAAGCCAAUCCCAAAUAACCAAAGGCCAAAUGUUUUCUCUGAAAAGCAAAUGCUUAUCCAUAGUGGGGGGGGGGGAGAAUGAAGGAACUUUGGAUAGUGAGUGAGGGGAAGAGUGAGGCAGUAGGGAUGGGAAAGACAGUAGGAGAGAGACAUGACUGCCCUACAUACAUGUGUGGUUACACUACUGGGGUGACUCUGCACCAUGUACAGCCAGAGGAAUGAGAAUUGUGCUCCAUUUGUGUACAAUGUGUCAAAAUGCAUUCUACUGUCAUGUAUAACUAAUUA